rnacentral:rRNA from 1 species
GACGAAUGCUGGCGGCGUGCUUAACACAUGCAAGUCGAACGGAAAGGCCCUGCUUUUGUGGGGUGCUCGAGUGGCGAACGGGUGAGUAACACGUGAGUAACCUGCCCUUGACUUUGGGAUAACUUCAGGAAACUGGGGCUAAUACCGGAUAGGAGCUCCUGCUGCAUGGUGGGGGUGGGAAAGUUUCGGCGGUUGGGGAUGGACCCGCGGCUUAUCAGCGUGUUGGUGGGGUAGUGGCUUACCAAGGCUUUGACGGGUAGCCGGCCUGAGAGGGUGACCGGCCACAUUGGGACUGAGAUACGGCCCAGACUCCUACGGGAGGCAGCAGUGGGGAAUAUUGCAUAAUGGGCGGAAGCCUGAUGCAGCAACGCCGCGUGCGGGAUGACGGCCUUCGGGUUGUAAACCGCUUUCGCCUGUGACGAAGCGUGAGUGACGGUAAUGGGUAAAGAAGCACCGGCUAACUACGUG